CAGUUAACAUGUGAUACAGUCUCUCUAUUAUGAGUCCCGAUCAUAUAGAGAUCAUGAAAAAUUUGUCAAACCCCAUCGUCAGUCAUAUGUUAAAUUUAUUUGACUCGAGUUCAUCUUGUGAAUAUCCAUGGAAACUCUUUUUCACUAAUCACACUGCCUUGGCCAAAAACUUCUAAAUUCAGUCUCAUAAAUCACAUAGGACUACUCCUUUCUGUUA
rnacentral:lncRNA from 1 species